rnacentral:rRNA from 1 species
AAAGGGUGCGUAGGCGGCCUGUUAAGUCAGGGGUGAAAGACGGUAGCUCAACUAUCGCAGUGCCCUUGAUACUGAUGGGCUUGAAUUGACUAGAGGUAGGCGGAAUGUGACAAGUAGCGGUGAAAUGCAUAGAUAUGUCACAGAACACCGAUUGCGAAGGCAGCUUACUAUGGUCUUAUUGACGCUGAGGCACGAAAGCGUGGGGAGCAAACAGGAUUAGAUACCCGUGU